UUCGCCCUUUUCCGGUUGAUCCUGCCGGACCCCACUGCUAUCGAGAUGGGACUAAGCCAUGCUAGUUGAACGACCCGAACUAUGGCGGGAAGUGGCACACUGCUCAGUAACACGUAGCUAACCUACCCUUUGGACGGGUACAACCCCGGGAAACUGAGGUUAAUACCCGAUAGGUGUGGAAACCUGGAAUGGUACCACGCCAAAAAGUAACGCGCCCAUGUGUGUGUUUACGCCGAAGGAUGGGGCUGCGGCCGAUCAGGCUGUUGGUGAGGUAACGGCUCACCAAACCUUUGACCGGUACGGGCCAUGAGAGUGGUAGCCCGGAGAUGGGCACUGAGACAAGGGCCCAGGCCCUACGGGGCGCAGCAGGCGCGAAACCUCCACAAUUCACGAAAGUGAGAUGGGGCUAUCUCGAGUGCCGCCUGAUGAAGGUGGCUUUUCCAUUGUGUAAUGAGCC
rnacentral:rRNA from 1 species